ACGAGUGGCGGACGGGUGAGUAAUGUCUGGGAAACUGCCUGAUGGAGGGGGAGUAACUACUGGAAACGGUAGCUAAUACCGCAUAACGUCGCAAGACCAAAGAGGGGGACCUUCGGGCCUCUUGCCAUCGGAUGUGCCCAGAUGGGAUUAGCUAGUAGGUGGGGUAACGGCCCACCAAGGCGAUGAUCAGUAGCCGGUCUGAGAGGGUGAACGGCCACAUUGGGACUGAGACACGGCCCAGACUCCUACGGGAGGCAGCAUG
rnacentral:rRNA from 1 species